rnacentral:rRNA from 1 species
AUACGGAGGGUGCAAGCGUUAAUCGGAAUCACUGGGCGUAAAGGGUGCGUAGGCGGUUUGGUAAGUCUGAUGUGAAAUCCUAUGGCUCAACCAUAGAACUGCAUUGGAAACUGCUAAACUAGAAUACUGAAGGGGCAGAUGGAAUUAGUGGUGUAGGGGUAAAAUCCGUAGAUAUCACUAGGAAUACCGAAAGCGAAAGCGAUCUGCUGGGAAGUUAUUGACGCUGAGGCACGAAAGCGUGGGGAGCAAACGGGAUUAGAAACCCCAGUAGUCC